UUGGGGAUAGGAAUUGGAAACUGAGGUCUGAUUAUGGUUAGGCCUACAGAAUGGUGAUUAUCUCAACAAUUGAAUGCGUUUCUGUACCUUAAUGAAGAUUCAAGAGGUCAAUCCGUUCAGAGUUGGUUGACUGAGUAGUUAUGGCUGUUGAUGCACAUGAACUCUGUGUCGGUUCAGUUCUGUUUUUCCUAGGACAUCUCUUUUUCCCAUAUAAGUCUGAUACAAGCACAGAACUAAAAGGAAAAAUACACCAAAUCACACUGUCAUCCUCUCGAUGAAGGAGUAGGAAUUAGGACAAAGCCAGGAUGAAGGGAAGUGGUGUUUGAACUGCUAUCGAGCUGCAGAAGGUUUUGGAACAGGCUCCCCUAGGGAGCAGAGGCACGGUGGUGUUCCUGGAUGUGUUGAUAGGCAACCUGUAGACAGCAGUUUAGAGCCAGACAGAAUAAGCACAUGCUUCAGUGGCAUAGAUGUUAGGCUCUUCAGGGAAAGGACCUGUUUUAUUUGAUUCUAAUUUUCUGAAAAGUGCCACCUACAUGUCAAGCGUGGUCCAAAUAGCCUGUAAUAAUCUGUUGUACUGUGCUUAUGCUAUCUGAUUUUACAUUUCUCCAUGAGAAGCCAUAAAAGAUGCCUUUAUAUUGGUGGUGCUCCCUGAUUUGCCUGUGGCUAGGACUAUUGGAUAAGCCCCUUGGACUUCGAAGAAACAAUUGGAAAGUGUUAGAAUGUAUUAUCUCUGAAAGGGCAAUCAUAAUGAUGGUUUCCAAAAGGUCCCUACCUUUGGGAUGCAGAUGAAUUAUGACAGCCAGAGAUGGAAAAAGCCCUUAUUUUUGUGUUUGCUUCCCUGGAAAAAUGACAUGCUGAAAACAGAAUAAAUACAUUCUAAUAGUUUUCGUGCUCUAUAUGAAAACAGAAGCUUUGUUGAUUUUUUCUUAAAACAAUGAAAAACAAAAAUUUAUUUCACAGUGUAUUAGGUAGUGUUUUAUUAAUGUUUUUUUUUGUUUAUUGCUUUUGACAUAUACACAUAAACCACUUUGUCUACACCCAUACAAAAUAGUUCAGGACAAGAAAUAAG
rnacentral:lncRNA from 1 species